GUUGAUAUGUACAGACAUCACCCAAAUGCACACAUACAAAUUAUACACAAUAAUGAAGACUUUACUGAGCCUCUGUAUUGCAGUGAUAUGGUUAUCAGGUGUCCGGUCUGCAGAACAACUUACCCAAUCAGAGCCAGCGGUGAUAAAGCCGGGGAACUCUCACACACUGACCUGUAAAGGUUCUGGAUUUGCUUUCAGUGGCUACUGGAUGAGCUGGGUCAGAGAGAUCAGAGGAAAAUUACAAUGGCUGUGUGCUGUGUAUGAUUCGGGUAACAUACAAUAUAAUAAUGAGGUUAAAGGAAGAUUCACAAUCUCCAAAGAUAACAGUAAUAACAUGUUGUAUCUGAAAAUGGACAACAUGAAAACUGAAGACUCUGCUGUCUAUUACUGUGCAAGAUACACAGCGAUAAAAACAGCUCUUAGAUAGAACAAAAACUCAUCUUU